UGAUUGCAGAAUUCCGCGAAUCAUCGAGUCUUUGAACGCAAGUUGCGCCCGAGGCUUGACCAAGGGCAUCCCUGCCAGAGCGUCACC
rnacentral:rRNA from 1 species